UGAACCAAUCAUUCCGCCAUUUUUGAAAGCGUCAAAAAUGCCUACAGCCGUAUCAGUACCUGGCCGUGGGAAGAGGCAGGGGGGGAAAUUUCUCCCGCCUGACCCUUCCUUCCGCCUUCUGUGAGUCAGAACUUCAACAAUCUCACAAUCAUCUUUUAAAAGCCAUUGGCCUCACGAUUCCUCAUGUCCUAAAAUGCAGCUUUCCUUACAAAAGCCUUUGAUUUUUGCCUAGGCGGUCUGAAUGUCUGGGAAAUUUUAUUAAACAUUUGCUAUGCGCCAGUAACAGCAAGACUGUAUACACAAAGCCACUAUCAAUUUCAGAUAUGGGAGAAGGUAUCUGCCAGCAUUUGUACCCCCUGGAGAGGAUUGGGGACCAUACUAAUUGCUCUCCAACACUGGAUCUUGAUAUAUCACUGUACGUUCAAGAAGUUGUAGACAGAAAAUAAAAAUCAAUGUGGAGUCUGAUGGGCAUAUGGAUCAAAACCAAAAAUCAACAACAAAACAAACAGUACACUAAGACAAGAAAGUAUUUGUAUCUGGUUAAAUAUUACACACGGAAAACAGACUUUGUAGGAGGUUCCGUGUAUGGUGAUGAUGCAGGAGCUGUGCUGUGUGAAGAAAGUAUCGGACAAUGGCAUGAUGAAAUUGCUUGUCUGACAAUUUCUGAAUGUUGACUGGAAAUCUGUGUUGAUCUGAAGAGACACGAUUUGAUGUAAGAGCAACAUAGAAAGUGAAGAAUGGAACAGCACCAUGGCAUUGAUGAA